UAGGGAAUCUUCCACAAUGGACGAAAGUCUGAUGGAGCAACGCCGCGUGAGUGAAGAAGGUUUUCGGAUCGUAAGCUCUGUUGUUGGUGAAGAAGGAUAGAGGCAGUAACUGGUCUUUAUUUGACGGUAAUCAACCAGAAAGUCACGGCUAACUACGUGCCAG
rnacentral:rRNA from 1 species